rnacentral:rRNA from 1 species
GACGAACGCUGGCGGCGUGCUUAACACAUGCAAGUCGAGCGGAAAGGCCCUUCGGGGUACUCGAGCGGCGAACGGGUGAGUAACACGUGAGUAACCUGCCCUUGGCUCUGGGAUAGCUCCGGGAAACCGGAAUUAAUACCGGAUAUGACCUCGGCCGACAUCGGCUGUGGUGGAAAGAUUUAUCGGCCAGGGAUGGGCUCGCGGCCUAUCAGCUAGUUGGUGGGGUAACGCCUACCAAGGCGACGACGGUAGCCGGCCUGAGAGGGCGACCGGCCACACUGGGACUGAGACACGGCCCAGACUCCUACGGGAGGCAGCAGUGGGGAAGAUUGCGCAAUGGGCGAAAGCCUGACGCAGCGACGCCGCGUGGGGA